ensembl:lncRNA
AUAUAGUGUGAUGCAAAAAAUUGCUUUAUUCUAGGUAUAUCUUUAAUAACUUCUUUUUUUAGUUUUUGUUUCCUACUAUUUUAAGAAUUGAAGCCAAAUUCUGUAUUAUGUGGCAAAACUAAUCAUCUGCAGGAAGAGACUGAUUGUGAAUGUUAGGAAAUGCUUAAAUUAAGCUCUUUGAUUGAGAUUUGAUUUUUGCUAGAUCAAAUUUUAAUCAAAGCUGUGUAGGUGAUGCUGAUUUGAAACCACCAUUUUUUCAACUGCUUAGAUAUCUCGUUUUUACCAUACAUAUAAAUGCAUAUUUCUGUGAUAAAAUGUUGUGCAAAACAUCCUCUUUAUUUAGCAGUUUGUAAUAACUGAGGUGUGAAAUAGCAUCGUGGUUGACAAGACAGAGGCAGCCUAAAUUAAUCACGCAAGCAUACAAGUUAGCAGCUCUGUUGUAAAAUGACAUACAGUGCUUCAUUUUUCAUUUAUUUCUCUGCAGUAAAACAGAGAGAUAUAAACAGAUAUGUAUAAUGAGCAAGGAAAAAAAAACACCCCUUUAAUAAGAUGAAUGGGGUAAAUUCUUUCUGACAGAAAUUAAAUGUUAUGCAUGCAUGGUAGAAAAUACUUUGACUUUACAACUUCUCAUUUCUGCUACAAAAUAAUAGAUUAACAAGUGUUUGACAGAGAAAGGUGACUUUUUUGUUUGUUUGUUUUUGGCCACGGGGAAUGGAAAGUGAAAGGCCUGUGCAAGUGCUCUGAGUUUGGAGGUCACAUUAUUCAGCAGUGGUAUCAGCAAUGGUAUCACAGCAACUCAUGGCUGGAAAUUAAUUUCAUAAUUAGCACUAUUAAAUUGUUUUUAAUGAGGAGCAAUUUGACUUUCAGACAUGGAGUUGCAUCAUGUUUGGAUCCAGCAGUACUGAAUACGUGCAGCCUCUCCUAUGCACAUGAUCUUUGUACUGACACAUCACUUCCUGAAGCCAUACAAACCAGCAGUCCCUGUCCCUCACAGUGUCCCCACGUGCCAGGCACAGCUGUGCUGUAGGUCAGGCAAGGGAGCAGGAGAGAGCAUGGUGCCAUUUGUGCCUGUGGGAGAGGAAUGCUGCACUGGGGGGGUAGGAAAAGAAGCAGAGGAGUGUCUUCUAAUGAAUGCUUGACCUUGACAGCACUCCUGUGAGCAUCUACCUCCUCCAUAAGCUCACCAUAUGUUCUUGAUCUAUCACUUUCAUUUUACUGGCUAAUAUUUCUUCCCCAACAACAGAAGAAAAGUUUGUGAAACGCUUUUAUUUAAUUCAUUGUAGAAGUUGUUGUUUUUUCCAUCUUUCUGGUAAUUCUGGCUCUGAUGUUACCCCAUUAUGGGGGAAAAAAAAAGAAGUUAGAAUGGCUAUAGUUUGGAGUACUUCUGUUGUGCUUCAAAACUAAAGUGGUGAAAGCUUAAGGAGCAAUAACAAGAAACACUCUCUAGUCCAAUGGAAAUGUGUACUGAGUUAAAAAGAGAAUUCUGUAAACCCUCCUUAUAUGAAUUAGAAUACUUCAGAAAAUAAAACGCUGAGAUAAUGUAGAGCUUCCACAUGAAGAUUGACAGAGCUCAUUGGUGAUCUGCCUGUAAGUGCCACUGUAAGAUGUGGGAAAUCCCUUUCACUAAUGAUGUGUAUUUCUUUUUCUCAGAUACUCCUCAUGAUAGCCACAGUCCAGCAUUCUUGAUGCAUGCUAACCUGGACAAACAUAUUACACAGUGACACCGUUAACAUCUGUGUUUCAGACAGCAGAGAUGAUGCAGUGAGUACAGCAACACAAACCCAAAGGGAAGAUAGUAAGGAACUGCAAGCGCUAAAACUUCCCCAUCUGUCUGACUGAAAAGUCGAAAACAGCAGUUUGAUAAGAGAGGAGAAGCUGCUAAGGGAAUUGUCUGUAUUUUCCUGGAAGGACUGCAAGGAUUGAUGAAUAUUUUUGUAAAGCAAGUUAGACCUGCGGUGGCACUUUUUCAGUACGUAAAUUAUACAUCUCUCAAUGAGUUGUAUUAUUGAAUACCAGUUUUUAAACA